CCCAGCCAAGAGCAGGGCAGCCAGCACCAUCAUCAGGCACCUUCCUGGGAACAGAGAGGCCAAGUGCGGUCCCUCCCUCCCCCUUGCACCAGCUCCGGCGCUGUUGGAUCCUCUACUGAGCUAAUUCAGGUCCCCAGCACAGAGGAAAGCCAUUCACCUUGUUGUCAAGAAAACAUUCUGCUACCUCAGCAAAUUGAAUUAGCUCAACACAACAUCAGAUCAAAGCAACAACAACAACAAAAAAGAUUCCUGGGACAGUAACACAGAACAAAGAACAUAAAGAAAAAAUACUGGCAUAAGAUGCAAGGAAGGUGCUGCAUGAGAAAUCCAGAAACUGCAGGGACUCAGAUCUUCUCUCGAGAGCAGAGGUAACUGCAGGACCUGAGCAGGUAA